rnacentral:rRNA from 1 species
CCUACGGGAGGCUGCAGUCGAGAAUCAUUCACAAUGGGGGAAACCCUGAUGGUGCGACGCCACGUGGGGGAAUGAAGGUCUUCGGAUUGUAAACCCCUGUCAUGUGGGAGCAAAUUAAAAAGAUAGUACCACAAUAGGAAGAGACGGCUAACUCUGUGCCAGCAGCCGCGGUAAUACAGAGGUCUCAAGCGUUGUUCGGAAUCACUGGGCGUAAAGGGUGCGGAGGCGGUUUCGUCAGUCGUGUGUGAAAGGCGCGGGCUCAACCCGCGGACGGAACAUGAUACUGCGAGACUAGGGGUAUGAGGGGGGAACCGGAAUUCUCGGUGUAGCAGUGAAAUGGGUAGAAUCGAGAGGAACACUCGUGGCGAAGGCGGGUUCCUGGACAUUAACUGACGCUGAGGCACGAAGGCCAGGGGAGCGAAAGGGAUUAGAUACCCGGGUAGUC